rnacentral:rRNA from 1 species
AGAAUCAACGCUGGCGGCGUGCCUAACACAUGCAAGUCGCACGAGAAAGGGGAGCAAUCCCUGAGUACAGUGGCGCACGGGUGAGUAACACGUGAAUCAUCUACCUCCGAGUGGGGAAUAACUGAGAGAAAUCUUAGCUAAUACCGCAUAACACUUACGAGUCAAAGCAGCAAUGCGCUUGGAGAGGAGUUCGCGGCAGAUUAGUUAGUUGGCGGGGUAAUGGCCCACCAAGACGAUGAUCUGUAUCCGGCCUGAGAGGGCGCACGGACACACUGGAACUGAAACACGGUCCAGACUCCUACGGGAGGCAGCAGUGGGGAAUUUUGCGCAAUGGGGGAAACCCUGACGCAGCAACGCCGCGUGGAGGAUGAAGCCCUUUGGGGUGUAAACUCCUUUCGAUCGGGAAGAUAAUGACGGUACCGAUAUAAGAAGCCCCGGCUAACUUCGUGCCAGCAGCCGCGGUAA